ACCGUUAUGACGUUGCAAUCCGUUCAAAUGCGCAGCGCAGCUUUUACACCCAAACAGCACGAAAGUCAAACAUCAACCAUCAAAGGUUUGUGUCCCUGUGUGCAAAUUUAUUCAAACACAUAACUAACUGCCUUUGUUGAAAAGUGUGACCAAUCUCUCAGGCAUUCCACUUUUGAUCCUGACUUCAUGAUCGCUCAUCGAGUGUCGUUUCCAGCUGCAGGACCAUGUAAAGCCAGACCCAUGAGUGAUCUGCAGUCUCUAUGCGUACCACCAUCUCAGCUCUGCCUUCUCCACCUUCUCUCACUAAGUCGAGAAAAACAAAUGAUAGUAAUACUCACACAGGCUGCAGUGCUGAGCAGAGGCAUGUGAAAGAUCUUGAGGAUGCACAAAGCUAUACCAGGAUUGGGCCCGCAGAGUCUCCACAUUCAUACCCAAAUAAACAUUUAUGCUGGAAAAAAAUAAAAUUUAAUUAAUCCAUGCUCACCUGAAAAAA